AUUCUGUCAGUUUUGGGAGCUUUAAAACCAUUUGUGACUGACACAUUAUUGCUUUCCAGGAAGUGGUAGGGAUGACAAAAAAGCAUAUUCCAACAGGGCUUUGGAGAGGAUAAAGUCCAAGAAGUACUGAAACCAAGAGUCACUUAAAUUUUUAAGAAUCUUCAUUUUAAAGAUAAGUAGUAGUCCACAUAGGAAUGCAUGGUAUUCAAUGAUGAUUUCCUACAUUUAUUCAAGGGAUAGGAACAUGCUAUUGUGAUCAGAAAGAAAAAUCAAACAAAAAGAAGAGGCCAAAGGAAAGGAUAUGGUCAGAAAAAAAAAUCAAACAAAAAGAAGAAGGGAGACAAAUUGGAGUGAUAUCCAACUAAUCAGAAGCUGGAUGUAGCUGAAGGACUUCUUGUUCUAAUUUAUCUGGCUGUGUCUUCACUGAGCGGAAGAAGAUAUGGUGGUUGAAGUUACAAGGACUCCUUGUUGUAACCAGGAGCCGAUCUUGAUCAAUGGAGCUACAUAAAGCAUGUUGAAAUGCAAAGAAAGAUAGAAGGAGCCUGUGGUACUGAAAACAUUGAGGAUUCUCUGAACCAGCCUUGGCUACCCCACCAUUUAACUUGAGAAAAAAUAUUUCUUUCCUCUUUAAGCUCUUCUUCUACCAAAUGUAUCAGGAAAUAAAAAUAUAUUAAAUUAAAACAAA
rnacentral:lncRNA from 1 species